rnacentral:rRNA from 1 species
CUACGGGAUGCAGCAGUGAGGAAUAUUGCACAAUGGGGGGAACCCUGAUGCAGCAACGCCGCGUGGAGGAUGACGCAUUUCGGUGUGUAAACUCCUUUUAUAUGUCAAGAAAAUGACGGUAGCAUAUGAAUAAGCACCGGCUAACUCCGUGCCAGCAGCCGCGGUAAUACGGAGGGUGCAAGCGUUACUCGGAAUCACUGGGCGUAAAGGACGCGUAGGCGGGUUGGAAAGUCAGGUGUGAAAUCCUACAGCUUAACUGUAGAACUGCACUUGAAACUGCUAAUCUAGAGUAUGGGAGGGGGAGAUGGAAUUAGUGGUGUAGGGGUAAAAUCCGUAGAUAUCACUAGGAAUACCUAAAGCGAAGGCGAUCUCCUGGAACAUUACUGACGCUAAGGCGUGAAAGCGUGGGGAGCAAACAGGAUUAAAUACCCCUGUAGUC